UACGAAGGGGGCUAGCGUUGUUCGGAAUCACUGGGCGUAAAGGGCGCGUAGGCGGCCGAUCAAGUCGGGGGUGGAAGCCUGUGGCUUAACCACAGAAUGGCCUCGAUACUGUUUGGCUUGAGACCGGAAGAGGUUAGUGGAACUGCGAGUGUAGAGGUGAAAUUCGUAGAUAUUCGCAAGAACACCAGCGGCGAAGGCGGCUGACUGGUCCGGUUCUGACGCUGAGGCGCGAAAGCGUGGGGAGCGAACAGG
rnacentral:rRNA from 1 species